rnacentral:tRNA from 1 species
CCUCCUUUCUAAGGAUGAGUGAAAGUAAAAUUUCACUCUAAAUAAUAUACAUCGGUAAUGUUGACCGCCCUCAUUUCUCUUCUUAAAGUAAUGUUUCCUUCUUGUAGGGCCGGUAGCUCAGUUGGUUAGAGCACACCCUUGAUAAGGGUGGGGUCGAAAGUUCGAGUCUUUCUCGGCCCACCAAACUUAACUGGGGGAUUAGCUCAUCUGGGAGAGCGCCUGAUUUGCAUUCAGGAGGUAGCAGGUUCGAUCCCUGUAUCCUCCACCAGGAAACAUUUAGUUAUUAAAACUGUAAAUAAAAAUAAUUUAUAUCAAUAUCUAUAUCCGAACAUUAAAAGUUAUUAUUAAUGUCCAAAAUAAAAUUUGAUCACAACGCAAAUUAA